rnacentral:rRNA from 1 species
UACGGAUGGUGCGAGCGUUAAUCGGAAUAACUGGGCGUAAAGGGCACGCAGGCGGGCUUUUAGGUGAGAUGUGAAAUCCCCGGGCUUAACCUGGGAAUAGCAUUUCAGACUGGGAGUCUAGAGUACUUUAGGGAGGGGUAGAAUUCCAAGUGUAGCGGUGAAAUGCUUAGAGAUGUGGAGGAAUACCGAAGGCGAAGGCAGCUCCUUGGGAAGGUACUGACGCUCAUGUGCGAAAGCGUGGGGAGCAAACAGG